rnacentral:rRNA from 1 species
UAACAUUCUGAAAAGAAUGCUAAUACCGCAUGACAUAUCGGAACCACAUGGUUUUGAUAUCAAAGAUUUUAUCGCUUGAAGAUGGACUCGCGUCCGAUUAGUUAGUUGGUGAGGUAACGGCUCACCAAGACCGCGAUCGGUAGCCGGACUGAGAGGUUGAACGGCCACAUUGGGACUGAGACACGGCCCAGACUCCUACGGGAGGCAGCAUG